ACUGCCCGCAGCUUCUGACUGACUGUACCAGGUCAUCGCUGCAAGAUGGGCUUCUGGGAAGGCUGCCAGACUACUUUUGAGGUUUCCCGGAUGUAAACAAGAAGACCACGAAGCCUCACGCAUGCAUCAGUGAGAGAUUAAGUAAUCAUGAUUUCCUUG